UCUCCUGUAGCUCAGUGGUGACUGGUGAGCACCCGACCGGCAUGCAGAAGGUCAUAGGUUCGACUCCCGUUGGGAGAA
rnacentral:tRNA from 1 species